rnacentral:rRNA from 1 species
GACGAACGCUGGCGGCGUGCUUAACACAUGCAAGUCGAACGGAAAGGCCCUGCGUUUGUUGGGUGCACGAGUGGCGAGCGGGUGAGUGACACGUGAGUAACCUGCCCCUGUCUUUGGGGUAAAUUCAGGAGACUGGGGCUCAUACCGGGUAGGAGCUCCUGCUGCAUGGGGGUGGUUGGAAAGUUUCGGUGGUGGGGGAUGGACUCGCGGCUUACCAGCUGGUUGGGGGGGUAUGUGCUUACCAGGGCUUGGAAGGGUAGCCGGCCUGGGAGGGUGGCCGGCCACCUGGGGACUGAGAAACGCCCCAGACUCCUACGGGAGGCAGCAGGGGGGAAUAUGGCACAAUGGCGGGAAGCGUGAUGCAGCAACGCCGGGUGCGGGAAGCCGGCUUUCGGGUGGUAAACCGCUUUCGCAGGUGACAAAGCGUUAGUGACGGUACCUGGUAAAGAAGCACCGGCUAACUACGUG